UGAGUUUGAUCCUGGCUCAGGACGAACGCUGGCGGCGUGCUUAACACAUGCAAGUCGAGCGAACCUUCGGGUUAGCGGCGAACGGGUGAGUAACACGUGGGCAACCUGCCCCGAGCUCUGGGAUAACCCCGGGAAACCGGGGCUAAUACCGGAUAUGACCCGAGAAGACAUCUUCUCGGGUGGAAAGUUUUUCGGCUCGGGAUGGGCCCGCGGCCUAUCAGCUUGUUGGUGGGGUAACGGCCUACCAAGGCGACGACGGGUAGCCGGCCUGAGAGGGCGACCGGCCACACUGGGACUGAGACACGGCCCAGACUCCUACGGGAGGCAGCAGUGGGGAAUAUUGCGCAAUGGGCGAAAGCCUGACGCAGCGACGCCGCGUGAGGGAUGAAGGCCUUCGGGUUGUAAACCUCUUUCAGCAGGGACGAAGCGAAAGUGACGGUACCUGCAGAAGAAGCACCGGCCAACUACGUGCCAGCAGCCGCGGUAAUACGUAGGGUGCAAGCGUUGUCCGGAAUUAUUGGGCGUAAAGAGCUCGUAGGCGGCCUGUCGCGUCGGCUGUGAAAACCCAGGGCUCAACCCUGGGCCUGCAGUCGAUACGGGCAGGCUAGAGUCCGGCAGGGGAGACUGGAAUUCCUGGUGUAGCGGUGAAAUGCGCAGAUAUCAGGAGGAACACCGGUGGCGAAGGCGGGUCUCUGGGCCGGAACUGACGCUGAGGAGCGAAAGCGUGGGGAGCGAACAGGAUUAGAUACCCUGGUAGUCCACGCCGUAAACGUUGGGCGCUAGGUGUGGGGAACCUUCCACGUUCUCCGUGCCGCAGCUAACGCAUUAAGCGCCCCGCCUGGGGAGUACGGCCGCAAGGCUAAAACUCAAAGGAA
rnacentral:rRNA from 1 species